CUUCCCCCUAGAGGCCUUUGCAGGUGUGGAUGUUGUCAUUCAUUACAUUAGGUGGCAGAGAGGAGAGAAACUAUGUCUACUACAAUGUUCUGACCUAUGAAUAUCUGAGGGAUUAGUAGCAUAACAUU
ensembl:snoRNA LOC120095760 small nucleolar RNA SNORA17